rnacentral:tRNA from 2 species
UCGGGAAUUAGCUCAGCUUGGUAGAGCGCUUCGUUCGGGACGAAGAGGUCGCAGGUUCGAAUCCUGUAUUCCCGAUC